rnacentral:ncRNA from 1 species
AACCCGGUUUCUUUAGAAACCAUCCAUAAAAUUUCUAGAUCUACA